rnacentral:piRNA from 1 species
AUUUAAGGAAUUGUGUUUUGUAACUUGCAG